AGAGUUUGAUCCUGGCUCAGAUUGAACGCUGGCGGCGUGCUUAACACAUGCAAGUCGAACGAGAAAGGGACUUCGGUCCUGAGUAGAGUGGCGCACGGGUGAGUAACGCGUAGGUAAUCUACCUUUGCAUCUGGGAUAACACUUCGAAAGGGGUGCUAAUACCGGAUACACUUAUGGACCGCAAGGUCUAUAAGGAAAGGAGACCUCUCCUUGGAAGUUUCUGUGUAGAGAUGAGCCUGCGUCCCAUUAGCUAGUUGGUAGGGUAAAGGCCUACCAAGGCGACGAUGGGUAGCGGGUCUGAGAGGAUGAUCCGCCACACUGGAACUGAAACACGGACCAGACUCCUACGGGAGGCAGCAGUGAGGAAUAUUGGACAAUGGGCGCAAGCCUGAUCCAGCGACGCCGCGUGAGUGAUGAAGGCCUUUGGGUCGUAAAGCUCCGUCAGCAGGGAAGAACGGCCGUGUGGUUA
rnacentral:rRNA from 1 species